AGUGAACGCUGGCGGCGUGCCUAAUACAUGCAAGUCGAACGAAGUGGCGCACGGGUGAGUAAUAUAUAGUUAGUCAGCCACACACAGAGGAACAACAAUUGGAAAAGACGGCUAAUACCUCAUAUUGUAGGAUGAGACUAUAACGUAUGAGCUAGUUGGUAAGGUAAUGGAUUACCAAGGCUAUGACGCGGAACAGGUCGGAGAGGAUGAUCAGUCACAUUGUAACUGAGGCACGGUCCUAACACCUACGGGAGGGAGCGUUAAGGAAUAGUGCGCAAUGGGCGAGACCCUGACGGAGCAACGCCGCGUGAAGGAUGACACGUUUCGGAGCAUAAACUCAUUUUAUCAGGAAAGCGGUACCUGAUGAAUAAGCACCGGCUAACUCCGUGCCAGCAGCCACGGUAAUUC
rnacentral:rRNA from 1 species